rnacentral:rRNA from 1 species
AGCGAGCGCUGGCGGCAGGCUUAACACAUGCAAGUCGAGCGGGCACUUUCGGGUGUCAGCGGCGGACGGGUGAGUAACGCGUGGGAACGUGCCCUCUGGUUCGGAAUAACUCAGGGAAACUUGAGCUAAUACCGGAUACGCCCUUUUGGGGAAAGGCUUGCUGCCGGAGGAUCGGCCCGCGUCUGAUUAGCUAGUUGGUGAGGUAACGGCUCACCAAGGCGACGAUCAGUAGCUGGUCUGAGAGGAUGAUCAGCCACACUGGGACUGAGACACGGCCCAGAAUCCUACGGGAGGCAGCAGUGGGGAAUAUUGGACAAUGGGCGCAAGCCUGAUCCAGCCAUGCCGCGUGAGUGAUGAAGGCCUUAGGGUUGUAAAGCUCUUUUAUCCGGGACGAUAAUGACGGUACCGGAGGAAUAAGCCCCGGCUAACUUCGUG